UACAUAAGAGGUCCAGCCUGCCCAGUGACUAAGUUCAACGGCCGCGGUAUCCUAACCGUGCGAAGGUAGCGUAAUCACUUGUUCUUUAAAUGAGGACUAGUAUGAAUGGCACCACGAGGGUUAUGCUGUCUCCCUUUUUCUAAUCAAUGAAACUGAUCCCCCCCGUGAAGAAGCGGGGAUAUAUUUAUAAGACGAGAAGACCCUAUGGAGCUUUAAACCAUGUAACACUGGCUUUCACAUUAAAAUAUUCCAGAAUUUUCAUAGUUACUCUAGCCAUUAUGAUUACUAGUUUUAGGUUGGGGUGACCACGGAGCAAAAAUUAACCUCCAUGUUGAAAGGAGCUACUCCUGAGCCAAAGGCCACGACUUUAAGCACUAAUAAAUUAACAUUAAUUGACCCAAUAUUUUUGAUCAACGAACCAAGUUACCCUAGGGAUAACAGCGCAAUCCAUUUUAAGAGCCCCUAUCGACAAAUGGGUUUACGACCUCGAUGUUGGAUCAGGGUAUCCCAGUGGUGCAGCCGCUACUAAAGGUUCGUUUGUUCAACGAUUAAAACCCU
rnacentral:rRNA from 1 species